rnacentral:pre_miRNA from 1 species
ACAACAUUUAGGACCGUCGAUCUACCGAGCAAUAUCACCUGCUCGGUGGAAGAUCUUGCCCUUCGUCGC